GGGAGUGGGGUUCACCUAGAAGCAGGUUGCCUAACCGCAAGGAGGGCGGCCUACCACGGUGAGCUUCAUGACUGGGGUG
rnacentral:rRNA from 1 species